CAGUUCGGAUUGAAGGCUGAAAUUCGCCUUCCAUGAAGCCGGAAUUGCUAGUAAUGGCAGGUCAGCAUACUGCCGUGAAUACGUUCCCGGGCCUUGUACACACCGCCCGUCACACCAUGAGAGUUGGGGAUACCCGAAGCCUGUGAGCUAACAGUAAUGAAGCAGCAGUCGAAGGUAGAAUCAAUGAUUGGGGUGAAGUCGUAACAAGGUACC
rnacentral:rRNA from 1 species